UACGGAGGGAGCUAGCGUUGUUCGGAAUUACUGGGCGUAAAGCGCACGUAGGCGGCUUUGUAAGUUAGAGGUGAUAGCCUGGAGCUCAACUCCAGAAUUGCCUUUAAGACUGCAUCGCUUGAAUCCAGGAGAGGUGAGUGGAAUUCCGAGUGUAGAGGUGAAAUUCGUAGAUAUUCGGAAGAACACCAGUGGCGAAGGCGUCUCACUGGACUGGUAUUGACGCUGAGGUGCGAAAGCGUGGGGAGCAAACAGGAUUAGAUACCUGGUAGUC
rnacentral:rRNA from 1 species